AUUGAAUAAUUUAGUGAACUUAUAGUAUAUGAUUUUAUAUAUGUGUACUUAAUCCAAACCUGUAUUUAUCCUCCUUGGACUUAAUUCUGGAACACAUUAGGGAGACCGCCAUUUCAUGAAUGUGCUUACAAUGUGACCAGCCAUUGAUUUCAAAUAUGUAAACUACUGUACAAUUUUGAAUCAAAUACAAGAUUUGUGCUGACAUAAAGGAUUAAAGCGAACUGUCAGCCAUCUUGUUUUUAUAGUAGUUAUUAACUUAUAUAAUCUUAAAAGGAAUUAAUUCUGCCAUUUACUUAUUUUCAAGUAAACAUCGGUAUUUUAGGUAAACAAAAUGUUGUUGUGACAAUAAAGGUUAUUUCGGAAUUGGAAUUUUUGGUAAAGCUAAACAUUAAAAAAUGGAAAGACUGUUUCUAUUGAUAGAUAAGACAGGAUAUAAAAAC
rnacentral:lncRNA from 1 species